GGCCGCAUGGCCCAAUGGCAAGGCGCUUGACUACGAUUCAUUCGAAAGCAUAUCGGAAUCAAGAGAUUGCAGGUUCGAUCCCUGCUGUGGUCA